UCAGAUACUUGAAGACAGCCAUUGUUGUGUCUCCUGUCUUCUCUUCUGCAGGAUAUAUGUCCUUAAUUCUUUUAAUUGACCCUCACAUGGCACGCUUGGAGGAUUUUUUGAGAACCUCGUUCUCCAGUCAUUAGAAUCUCCUUGAGAACAUAAAUAGAUCAGAGUAUUGACAUCUUUGGAAAACAGCCUCACAAUGGAGAUGAUGGGAUAUCAUGGGAAGAAGACUGAACCAAGUUCUUGUCCUGGAUCUGUCAGCAACUAGAUGGGUAACCUUGAACACUUGGACUCUGCCUCUGAGAAGCUGGGCAUUGAUAGGUGAGCUUUCGCCUCAUCCAAUCUGAAAGCCGGCCUUCGCCAUCUUGUUCAAGCUAUCUCCACUCCAAGUCCUGCAAUUCAGAACCACAGUAACUGGGCUCUGGUUAAUGCACAUGGCCGGAGGCAAGCAAAAUGGAGGACAUUGCUUUUUUUUUUUCUGGAUGAAAAUCAACUCAUUAAAAAGUUAACACGUCACUUGCCAAAAGAAUGUAAGCUACGAAGCUACACUUAAAAUGCUGACCCUGGGCCAGUAAGAAGAGAACUGGACUUCUAAGCUUCUUGAAGG